CUCCUUUGACGUUAGCGGCGGACGGGUGAGUAACACGUGGGUAACCUACCUAUAAGACUGGGAUAACUUCGGGAAACCGGAGCUAAUACCGGAUAAUAUUUAGAACCGCAUGGUUCGAUAGUGAAAGAUGGUUUUGCUAUCACUUAUAGAUGGACCCGCGCCGUAUUAGCUAGUUGGUAAGGUAACGGCUUACCAAGGCGACGAUACGUAACCGACCUGAGAGGGUGAUAGGCCACACUGGAACUGAGACACGGUCCAGACUCCUACGGGAGGCAGCAGAC
rnacentral:rRNA from 1 species